UACGGGGGGGGCAAGCGUUGUUCGGAAUUACUGGGCGUAAAGGGCUCGUAGGCGGCCAACUAAGUCCGACGUGAAAUCCCCAGGCUUAACCUGGGAACUGCGUCGGAUACUGGAUGGCUUGAAUUCGGGAGAGGGAUGCGGAAUUCCAGGUGUAGCGGUGAAAUUCGUAGAUAUCAGGAGGAACACCGGUGGCGAAGGCGGCUACCUGGACAGAAACUGACGCUGAGGCGCGAAAGCUAGGGGAGCGAACAGG
rnacentral:rRNA from 1 species